UACGUAGGGUGCAAGCGUUGUCCGGAAUUAUUGGGCGUAAAGAGCUCGUAGGCGGUCUGUCGCGUCGGCUGUGAAAACCCGGGGCUCAACCCCGGGCCUGCAGUCGAUACGGGCAGACUAGAGUGCGGUAGGGGAGACUGGAAUUCCUGGUGUAGCGGUGAAAUGCGCAGAUAUCAGGAGGAACACCGAUGGCGAAGGCAGGUCUCUGGGCCGAUACUGACGCUGAGGCACGAAAGCCAGGGGAGCAAACGGG
rnacentral:rRNA from 1 species